rnacentral:lncRNA from 7 species
AAAAUGAUGCAUAUCACUGUUUACUGACUACUACUUUUCUGCAGUUUCCACCCCCCAGUGCCUGAGCUGUGUCCCUAAUUAACAGCAGAGGACGAGGACAAGCCAGAGCCUUUGGGAUGCUUCUGGGCAGAGCCCGGGGAGGGACCGGACCCGUUAGCGGCUGAUUGAGCAAUGCCAGUGUGGCAGAAGAACAGAGUGGCUGCUAUCGUAGAUGGAGAAACAAUAAUCCCUGCCGACCAAGAUGACAACUUUUCUUUGGAUCUGGCAUCAAGUAGAAGUGCUUCCCCUGUGUCUGAGUUGGAGAAUGAGACCACUUCAACAGGACACUCUUCCAUCAUUUCCCAAAGACAUUAUUUUUGCAGUCGGAUGAGUGUUGGCUUCCCAGUGAUGCCUCUACGGACAACAGCAUUCUGUCAGACUGACCUCUCAUACAGCGUUUGAUAGUGUGAUAUAAGUGUGCUGAGGAAGACAAGAAGAUGAUCUCCAGUUGAAGGCACACAAACUCCUAGCCGAUUUUAACAGGAUUGAACCCAGACAUCGUUUUUGCUGCACAACUGCACAACUUCAAAUUGGUUUUACAAUUCAAGGCUCUCUCUUCCAUAGUUAGUAAUUAUUACUUGUCAAGGUUCAUUAAUAUCUCUGCCCCAUACAUUACGCAAGAAACAUCAUUAUAGCAAGACCUUACCCCAUGUCAUUAGCAGGAACUUUUGUAUUUAAUGUUGAGAAUGACUCAAGUGAAGUGCUGCUUUCUCUGACCUGUCAUAAAUAAAGAACCAUU